CAGUAGUCAUAUGCUUGUCUCAGAGAUUAAGCCAUGCAUGUCUCAGUGCACGCCUUUAUACGGUGAAACCGCGAAUGGCUCAUUAAAUCAGCUAUGGUUUAUUGGAUCAUACCCGUUAAAUGGAUAACUGUAAUAACUCUAGAGCUAAUACAUGCCUUGAUGCCCUGACCCUUACGGGGAUGGGUGCACUUAUUAGAUCAGAAGCCAACCGUGUAUGGUCGCCCCACAUGCCUUGUGUGUGUGUGGGUGGGUGUGCGCGUUGACCUUCUGGUGACUCUGGAUAAUUGUUACAGAUCGCAGUCGGCCUUGAGUCGGCGACGGGUCCUUCAAAUGUCUGCCCUAUCAACUUUCGAUGGUAGGUGACCUGCCUACCAUGGUGAUAACGGGUAACGGGGAAUCAGGGUUCGAUUCCGGAGAGGGAGCCUGAGAAACGGCUACCACUUCCAAGGGAGGCAGCAGGCGCGCAAAUUACCCACUCCCAGUACGGGGAGGUGGUGACGAAAAAUACCGAUGCGGGACUCCUUAACGAGGCUCCGUAAUCGGAAUGAGUGAACUAUAAAUCCUUUCACGAGGAUCAAUUGGAGGGCAAGUCUGGUGCCAGCAGCCGCGGUAACUCCAGCUCCAAUAGCGUAUAUUAAAGUUGCUGCAGUUAAAAAGCUCGUAGUUGGAUCUCGGUAUCACUGUCGCUUGUCAGUCCUCAGGUAGGUGUCUGCUGCGGCAGCGGCGGCGGAGUGCGCAUGGCUCACGCAGUUGUGUGUGUCUCUUGUUCGUUGUCCUGUGGAUGUCCUGCUCGAGUUGGCGAUGUGGUGGUGUCACCUUUGAGCCAUGUCUGUGGUGGAAUACCCGCAGGUGUAGGCGAGUGUCAGGCGGUGCCUUGCGAAAGCAGGGCUCGUCGGCUCGUUUGCAUGCCUUUAGAUGCCCUUCAAAAGGUGUCUGUUGGCGGAUGGCACGUUUACUUUGAACAAAUUUGAGUGCUCAAACCAGGCCGAUGUUGCCUGAAAAGUUUUGCAUGGAAUAAUGGAAUAGGACUUCGGUUCUAUUUCGUUGGUUUUCGGAUCCGAAGUAAUGAUCAAAAGAGACAGGCGGGGACGUUUGUAUGGCUGCGCUAGAGGUGAAAUUCAUGGACCGUAGCCAGACAAACUAAAGCGAAAGCAUUCGUCAAGCAUGUUUUCAUUGGCCAUGAGCGAAAGUCAGAGGCUCGAAGACGAUCAGAUACCGUCCUAGUUCUGACCAUAAACGAUGCCAACUGACGAUCCGUGGUGGUAGUUCAUCAACCUUCCCCACGGGCAGUCCCCGGGAAACCUUUAAGUCUUUGRGUUCCGGGGGAAGUAUGGUUGCAAAGCUGAAACUUAAAGGAAUUGACGGAAGGGCACCACCAGGAGUGGAGCCUGCGGCUUAAUUUGACUCAACACGGGAAAACUCACCCGGCCCGGACACUAUGAGGAUUGACAGAUUGAAAGCUCUUUCUUGAUUUGGUGGUUGGUGGUGCAUGGCCGUUCUUAGUUGGUGGAGCGAUUUGUCUGGUUAAUUCCGAUAACGAACGAGACUCCUGCCUGCUAAUUAGUGCAUCUGUCUACUGUGCCUGCGUAGGCGGUGUUUGACGAAACUGACUCCGUAAAGCCGCGCUCGUGGGUUGGCUCGACCUUCUCAUUCUUGUGGGGGGGGAGUGUUGGCCUGUGGGUGUGGUGGGGUCGGUUGGUUCGGCAUUAGUCUCCGGGUGCGGCGCGGUUGCUACUUCUUAGAGGGACAAGUGGGAGAAGCCGCACGAAAUAGAGCAAUAACAGGUCUGUGAUGCCCUUAGAUGUCCGGGGCCGCACGCGCGCUACAAUGACGGUGGCAAUGAGUCUGACCUUCUGGCCCGAAAGGGUUGGGCAAACUGGUCAAUCACCGUCAUGACAGGGAUCGGGGCUUGGAAUUGUUCCCCGUGAACGAGGAAUUCCUAGUAAGUGCAAGUCAUAAGCUUGCGCUGAUUACGUCCCUGCCCUUUGUACACACCGCCCGUCGCUACUACCGAUUGAAUGGUUUAGUAAGGUCCUUGGAUUGGCGCCAUUGUGGUGGUUGCCGAAAGGUUGCUACCCGGCAGGUGCUGAGAAGACGACCAAAAUUGAUCAUUUAGAGGAAGUAAAAGUCGUAACAAGGUUUCCGUAGGUGAA
rnacentral:rRNA from 1 species